GACGAACGCUGGCGGCGUGCUUAACACAUGCAAGUCGAACGAUGAAGCGGGUGCUUGCACUCGUGGAUUAGUGGCGAACGGGCGAGUAACACGUGAGUAACCUGUCCUUUUCUUUGGGAUAACGGCUGGAAACGGCUGCUAAUACUGGAUAUUCAGGCUGCAUCGCAUGGUGUGGUUUGGAAAGGUUUUUUCUGGGAUUGGGUGGGCUCGCGGCCUAUCAGCUUGUUGGUGGGGUGAUGGCUUACCAAGGCUUUGACGGGUAGCCGGCCUGAGAGGGUGGUCGGUCGCAAUGGGACUGAGAUACGGCCCAGACUCCUACGGGAGGCAGCAGUGGGGAAUAUUGCACAAUGGACGAAAGGUUGAUGCAGCGACGCCGCGUGGAGGGUGUAGGCCUUCGGGUUGUGAACUCCUUUUUCUCGCGAAAAAGGCACAGUUUUGGCUGUGUUGAUGGUAGUGGGGGAAGAAGCGCCGGCUAACUACGUG
rnacentral:rRNA from 1 species